CUCCUUCCUUCUUCUGGACACCGCUCCUUGCAAGCCUGCUCCCAUUGCUGAUGCCCACCUACCCGCAGUUAGGUCCUGUCCUUUCUCAGCUGAGACAGGAGGGACAGGUGGCCCGUGCCGGAAGCAGUGGCUGUGGCACAGGAGAAGGGGGGAGAUCCUGGUAGAGAGCCCAGAGCUGCAAUGUGACAAACAGGAGGCCAGGUAUUAACAGUGCCUUAUUCAUGCAAGUCCCUCGCUUGGCCUCAUCUGGGAGGAUUUUGAUCGUCAGCUCCUCAUCUCUGCCAUUCCUCAUUACAACAGUCACCUAUGAGAAUAGGUAAGAAACAAAAGGCCAGAUGCACAGCUGCACAGAUGAGCGGAGCACGCUGCAAC
ensembl:lncRNA